rnacentral:rRNA from 1 species
AGUAAUGUAUGGGGAUCUGCCUGAUGGCGGGGGAUAACUACUGGAAACGGUAGCUAAUACCGCAUAAUGUCUGCGGACCAAAGCGGGGGACCUCCGGGCCUCGCGCCAUCAGAUGAACCCAUAUGGGAUUAGCUUGUAGGUAAGGUAACGGCUUACCUAGGCGACGAUCCCUAGCUGGUCUGAGAGGAUGAUCAGCCACACUGGGAUUGAGACACGGCCCAG